rnacentral:rRNA from 1 species
AUUGAACCCUGGCGGCAUGCCUUACACAUGCAAGUCGAACGGCAGCACGGGUGCUUGCACCUGGUGGCGAGUGGCGAACGGGUGAGUAAUACAUCGGAACGUACCUUAUCGUGGGGGAUAACGCAGCGAAAGCUGUGCUAAUACCGCAUACGCCCUGAGGGGGAAAGCGGGGGAUCGAAAGACCUCGCGCGAUUAGAGCGGCCGAUGCCUGAUUAGCUUGUUGGUGGGGUAAAAGCCCACCAAGGCGACGACCAGUAGCUGGUCUGAGAGGACGAUCAGCCACACUGGGACUGAGACACGGCCCAGACUCCUACGGGAGGCAGCAGUGGGGAAUUUUGGACAAUGGGGGCAACCCUGAUCCAGCAAUGCCGCGUGAGUGAAGAAGGCCUUCGGGUUGUAAAGUUCUUUUGUCAGGGAAGAAACACCGGCUCUAACACAGUCCGGGAAUGACGGUACCUGAAGAAUAAGCACCGGCUAACUACGUGCCAGCCGCCGCCGUAA